UACGUAGGGUGCGAGCGUUAAUCGGAAUUACUGGGCGUAAAGUGUGCGCAGGUGGCCGCGCAUGUCGAGUGUGAAAUCCCCGGGCUUAACUUGGGAAUUGCGCUCGAAACUACGUGGCUCGAGUGUGGCAGAGGAAGGUGGAAUUCCACGUGUAGCGGUGAAAUGCGUAGAGAUGUGGAGGAACACCGAUGGCGAAGGCAGCCUUCGU
rnacentral:rRNA from 1 species